UCUGGAGACAGGUGCUGCAUGGCUGUCGUCAGCUCGUGUCGUGAGAUGUUGGGUUAAGUCCCGCAACGAGCGCAACCCUUGCCUUAGUUGCCAGCAGUUCGGCUGGGCACUCUAAAGGGAACUGCCGGGUGUUAAACCGGAGGAAGGUGGGGAUGACGUCAAGUCCUCAUGGCCUUUAUGACCAGGGCUACACACGUACUACAAAUGGCCGAUACAAAGGGCAGCGACACUGCGAGGUGAAGCCAAUCCCGUAAAAAUCGGUCUCAGUCCGGAUUGGAGUCUGCAACUCGACUCCAUGAAGUUGGAAUCGCUAGUAAUCGUGGAUCAGCAUGCCACGGUGAAUACGUUCCCGGGCCUU
rnacentral:rRNA from 1 species